rnacentral:snoRNA from 1 species
AAGACUAUACUUUCAGGGAUCAUUUCUAUAGUUUGUAACUGGUGAAAUGUGCUCGAAAGUGUCAAACUCAGUAACCACGAUGAGGAGCUCUUCAGUGUUCUCUCCUGAGCGUGAAAAGUGUGCUCGGUGCUGCAUUACUGUAGCUGCCUUGCACAGUUGAUGAUCGUUCUUUUCUCUUCAUGGAGAGAUGGAGGGAGAUAACACAAGCUGAGUGGU